GAUGAACGCUGGCGGCGUGCCUAAUACAUGCAAGUCGAGCGAACGGACGAGAAGCUUGCUUCUCUGAUGUUAGCGGCGGACGGGUGAGUAACACGUGGAUAACCUACCUAUAAGACUGGGAUAACUUCGGGAAACCGUAGCUAAUACCGGAUAAUAUUUUGAACCGCAUGGUUCAAAAGUGAAAGACGGUCUUGCUGUCACUUAUAGAUGGAUCCGCGCUGCAUUAGCUAGUUGGUAAGGUAACGGCUUACCGAGGCAACGAUGCAUAGCCGACCUGAGAGGGUGAUCGGCCACACUGGAACUGAGACACGGUCCAGACUCCUACGGGAGGCAGCAGUAGGGAAUCUUCAGCAAUGGGCGAAAGCCUGACGGAGCAACGACGCGUGAGUGAUGAAGGUCUUCGGAUCGUAAAACUCUGUUAUUAGGGAAGAACAUAUGUGUAAGUAACUGUGCACAUCUUGACGGUACCUAAUCAGAAAGCCACGGCUAACUACGUG
rnacentral:rRNA from 1 species